rnacentral:rRNA from 1 species
GACGAACCGUGCAAACGUUGUUCGGAAUCACUGGGCUUAAAGGGCGCGUAGGCGGUUGGUUAAGUCGGCGGCGAAAUACUUUGGCUCAACCAGAGAAUUGCCGCUGAAACUGGCCGGCUGGAGGGAGGUCGAGGUGCGUGGAACUUCCGGUGGAGCGGUGAAAUGCGUUGAUAUCGGAAGGAACGCCUGUGGCGAAAGCGAUGCACUGGACCUCUUCUGACGCUGAGGCGCGAAAGCCAGGGGAGCGAACGGGAUUAG